rnacentral:ncRNA from 1 species
UGACCAUGGGGCCGGGACGCUUUGAUUGUUCGGAUCGAAGUGACCUAGGAGUACAGGGAGUACUUCCGCAAGGGCCGGGUCAGGAAAACC